CUCAAAACUGACUUUGUGUUUAACACAGGAAACAAGUGAAAGUACGUUUUCGGUCAAGCUGCCCAUCUCAACCAACUCUCCUCCUUACCAUAGACGCUAUUUUGACCCUCGGCGCGUCCAAUAGUCUCUGCAGUGCGCGCUCACUUUAGCGCCAGACCGCAUCGAGGAAGAACCAUAGACUGUAUAUAAAAAGGGAAGAACAGAGAGAAGCGGCUGAGACUCAGUUGACCACAGGAGGAGAAGGAGUUUUUUCCCCCUGGAAACUCGUAUAUUAGCUAUUGAGGUCAGUGGAGGUGAUGCAGAGGGACAGGGUGAUGAUGACCGCAGUCAUGUUAAUGAGGAGGGAGGAGAAGGAGGAGGACAGGGAAGAGAAGCAGCAGGAGGAGAAGGAUUCGUCUUCUCUCCCACUCACCCGACUGAUUCCUCUCCCACUGGAAGGCCCUCCUCUCGGUCUCCCGUACCCACUCUCGGCCCCUGUCACCGCCAUAGCCCAUUACUCUGUAGUCCAGCUGGAGAGAUCGCGUGCUGCCUCCUCGUCUGAUGUUCUGCUGAGUGUCACUGAGGUCGUAAUGGGAUCCCACCUCUGGAGGACGCAGACGUGACGGUGACAACCAGCUUGAAGUCUGACUGGAAGACUCCCAGCGGUAUGCUGUACAGGAAAGGACAAAAAAACACAAAAUAUAUCUUUUGAAACAGUUUAAAAUAGUAAUGUUUCAAUGGAACAACAAGCAAAGAGAUAAGAGAGUUUCCCUGGACAAACGUGUUGCCAAAUCACAGGAAGUAUGUAGAUCUCACUUGAAUGUGUGUUUUAUGUUACAGCCUUUCUGCAUUGCACAGUAUGAGCAAGGAAGGAGAUUAUCUAUCUAAUAGGAUCAGCCCGCCAAAGGUGGCGACUCACUGUCAGUGAAGUGGAAAACAAAAUAAAUAUCUCAUGGAACAGGAAGCCUUUGAUGAUGAAAUGCUCUUCAUGUAGAAACAAGUGAAUGCAGAAAGACAUGGUGAAUUAUCACAUGGAAGAAAACACAGUCGAUAAUGGGAGAGGGAGGCUGGCAGAGAGCCAUUUCUCGCCGAUACAUGCAAACAGACAAAUGCACACACAAACAAAAUUCAUAACACAUACUAUACACGUACAUACACAUGCAGACUGUAAUUGCCAGAGGUGGGUAGUACCUCAUUACAAGUAACUUAAAAAACGAACUUUUCACAUUUCCUUUUAAUACUUUACUUUCUACUUAAGUAUUUUCUUAGGCCAGUAAUCUACUUUUAACUUUGCUACAUUUGCUAUUUAUACCAUUGUUACAACUAGUCUGUUAUCUACUAUGCAUUUUGCUACAUUAACUGGAAUAAGCUGUCAUCCAAGGCGUGUGCAAUAAUGUAACUGAAAUCUAGCAACUGCACGCUGUACCACUGGUGGUCGUGUUGGAAAGCAGCCUGCUUUGCCCUUUCAUAAGCCCGCAGAAAUACUUUCACUAAAUACUAAAUAUUGCUAAAAGCCUAUAGUCUGUGCAGAACAAAUAUAGGUUACACACGGUAUAUAUCUAUAAGUCAGAUGAUCAUUGGAUUGAUUCUGGUAUAUUAACAUAAUCUUCUCGUUGCGCAGAGCAUAACUUUCUUUUAAUGGAAUUUUCUUUUCUCUAAUUCGCCGUGGUUGCUGUUUGCUUUAUAGCGAUGCCUGGUAGAAGGUGAAAUUGAUGUUGGCUUUCACACAGCAGGCUACCAGCUAUUAUGUAUUCAGGAAACAAUCAUUUUUGAGAAGCAUAUGAAGAUAAAACAGUCCUAUUGGGCUCUACGUGUGAUGCACAUGUCUCCCUCUAUAUGUAGGCUUACCGUACUUCAUUCAACCGGCUGCCCCUGUGUUAUUGCCACAAUAAUCUUUUAAGUCAUAAAGAUUAUGUUCAUAGAUGCUUUAGGUAUAAUCAUAUUGAAUUGGAUCCCUGGGCUAUUGGAGAAGGCAAAACAUACAGUGGUGGUGAUGGCGCAGUGGAACAGACGCAUGCUUUUGGUGUGAGAGACCUGGGUUCGAAUCCACUGUAAGACACCAACGUGUCCCUGAGCAAGAGCACUUAACCCCUAGUUGCUCCAGAGACGUGCGACCUCUGACAUAUAUAGCAAUUGUAAGCCGCUUUAGAUAAAAGCGUCAGCUAAACGAAUAAAUGUAAUACAGUGCCCGUCAUAUCAAAGCAUGUGGUUUGGUUGGCUACACGUCCAUAUCAACAGAUACAGGCAACAACAAGCUAGGCAGCAAUAUGAUCUUAUCGAUACUUUAAACAGAAAUAGCUAAAUUAGACAUUCCCAAGAAAUAUCCAUGUUGCACAGUGGUUAUUUCUAACCUGAUGUACGCGGAUGAAACACUUAUAAUUCUAAAAAGAGACUUGACUCAGACACUUUCCCGAAGACUUUGGACUUCAGUUGGACUUGCAUAAAAUUAUUUGUGAAGAUCUCUGGCCACCACACACUAACAAUAUUGAAACACAAAGUUUAUUGACCAAACUUUUAUUCUUUUACUUGAGUAGGUUUGUCAAACUAUAUUGUAGUUUACCCACCACUGGUAAUUGCAAACACAAACAUGUUAUAUGCAAUAUUAAUACUAUGUCAGAUGGGGAAUUUUGGAACUUUUCACCUUGUUAUAAAUGUUAAUUUUUUCUCUCUCUUAUUAUGUUGGUAUUUUUGUCUUUUUUAUGCAGUUUUUUCAGUAGUACGCUGUGUUUGGUAUGAAUGGUCAGUGUCAUUGUCCUGUCACUUUUCUUGACUUGAGCACAAACAUAUCAAAAUAAGAAAUGUACAUUUGCACUGUGUUAUA